rnacentral:tRNA from 1 species
GCCCCCGUAGCUCAGCUGGAUAGAGCGUCCGACUUCUAAUCGGAUGGCCGCAGGUUCGAGUCCUGCCGGGGGCG